AGAAGUUCUACCUUAACAGGCAAACGUUAGGAACUAUUACUAAUGUCUGAUGACCAACAUAAAUUAUUUCCAGCAAAUAUUUUCAAGUUUAGUUUUAAAAUAAAAUUAUCAAGCGGAAUUAUAAAUUUUUUUGAGACAAAAAAACCCAAAACUGGACACUUUGUUGAACACUUUAUUGUUCCUUUUGUUGAUUUUGUGUAUCAAUAUUUCCUUCCAGUUCGUUAUAAAAAAGCCCGACUCAUUAAAACUUGUCAUUUCCUUAAACUCAUUUCUACAUUUGGAUUUUGGAUUAAUAUAAUUAAAACUUGUCAUUUUGUUCCCUUAACGACAUAUUCUGUAUCACAGAAAUUUUUUGACAUGUUUAAAAUCACACGUGUCGUAAUGUUUGCCCAGUAAAAAAAAAAGGUAGUGCUGUUACAGAGACAGCGAUUUAGCUUCAUUGCAAACCGUAGUGCUUCUAUAGGAAGUAAUUCCUAGCGCGUCUGCCUUGAAAGCUAAGUCAAACAAAGGAGAAACAGUAAAAUGUAUUAUAUUAUCAUGCAUCCUAUAUCCAUAUUGUUUUGCAAGUUGAUCCGCCACCUCAUUUUGUUUCUUGUAGUUGCGUUCAUUCAAAGGUUCUCUUAGUUGGUUCAGCAAUGACCUGCAACCAUGAACAAUGUCAGAACAAUGUAAGUUAUUGUCGCGGAGGAACAAUGUAAGAGAGAUACUUGGGAGCAUCGACUCUUUUAUGGAUGAUAGGGCAACAAAAACCUUUUGUUCAUUUGACUGUAUGUUUGCACUAACAUUAAUAGAGGAAGGUAUCAAAUAUUAUAAACUUCAGUACGAAGGUAGUGCUGGGUGCCACAUUUACAAUUUGAAAAAAAGCAAAGAAAAAGUGUUUCCUUGAUUCUUCCUACAAGGAUUCUAAAACUUAAAACUUCUAAACAGCAUUCGAACUAUUUGCAAGAUUUUCGUUACACCCAAAACAGAAAAAGAAAAUAUCAUUCAUCCAUCCCCCAAUUUAAUACGAACUUCUGCUUUGAAAGGUCAAUAGACCUAUGACUGUUCUCCAUACCUCCAUAAUUAUUUCAUUUUUCAUUUAGUGAACUUGAAUUAUGUUUGCUUUAAGUUUUUUAUGCCCAAGCCCCCUUCCAUUUCACUAGAUUAAAACACCUCUUAUCUCUAUCUCCUUGCCAUAUAAAGUUCCUUAUUAAAGCAUCAGUCUUCUUUUCAAUUUUUACUGGUAUAUUUGGCAGAUAGCUUGAUUAGUUAACAAUGUACUUGACUCAUUAACCAUCAAUAUUUCAUGUUGCAUCCAUUAUCUAUCUACCACAAAUAAAAGUGAUUUGAUGAGUGUCUUAUCAGUUUGUCCACCAUUUUUUUGAGUCUCUAGAUACCAGCUUAGAGUACCAGAAAUUAUGCCCUAAAGGACAUGUGUGGGAGCUGUCAUUAGCGUGAAAAUAGUCGUAGGAAUUGUUUCCCACAACAAUGAGUUUACACCAAGGAGAACGAAACGAGCCCCUACGUGUUUACCCUAGUCUAGACAAGUUAGCAAAUACAGUACAAGAUGAAGUCCCAUGAUGUAUGCUAUUUGCUAAUGAUUUGUGUUAAUUGACAAAUCUAGCAAGGGUGUCAACCAAAAGCUUGACUUAUGGAGAAAAACGUUAGAAAGUAAGGGUUUUGGGAUAAGUAGAAGUAACAGAAUGAAAUUACAAAUGAAGGUGUUACUCGUUAAAAUCAGAUGGUUGAAAUGAAGAAGUGCUAUCAAGUGAAAUGUGAUAGAAGGAUGCCUACCAAAUUGAAAGUUAAAAAGUAUAUAGAACAACUAUAAGACUUACAAUGUUAUAUGGUGGUUGAAUGUUGGGUCGCUAAAGAUACAAUCCAAGUUCACUUGAGAUGGUUUGAACAUGUUUUACAAAUGCACUAAUUCGUUGGUGUGAAACAAUAGUAAGUGAAAGUGUUGAAAAGAGAUGGGCAAAUCUAAAAUGACAUGGAAGAAAGUCUCGAAAGACCUAUAAAUGCAUGGUGUUAAUGCAGACUUAGCUAACAAUUAGGCAUAAUAGAAGAAAAAGAUCUAUAGAGGUGAUAAGCUACUAGUUGAGAAUAGAUUUUAGACUUGUUAGAUAAAUUCUAAUAUUAUUAUUAUUAUUAUCAUUAUAUAUCCAUAAACAGCCUCUUAGGGAACUUUCACAAAAAUAAAUUAUUGCAUGUACCCAACAUCCCAAAACAGGGGUAACCCAAUACUGUCCUCCAGUUGUACUGAAAGAAGUCUGAAAUAGCAAAUCACCCAAGAAAUUUGCUGCUCCAACCGUUUCGUGCAGCAAUCUUGAUUGCCAGCAUGUCCAUUCUUGUCUAAACAUAUUUGCUCUAUCAUCAUCUCAUGAAGCAUUUCUCAUUUAGUCAUUACCUACUGAUGGCUAACAACUUGCUAUUGUUGACGUGUCAUUGUUGUUGUUAGGAUUAUUUUAUCUAGUACCAUUCUACAACUAAACAAUUGUUUUUAACUUUAUGGGAGAAGAGAGAGGGCAAGAAAAGUUUGACCCAAGAAAUUGGAUGCCUCUUUGGUUUUUAUCAUAUUCAAUAAUCGGAUCCCAAUACUAACCUUAUUUACCCCAACCACCUACUGCUAGUUCCUUAACUCGCAGCAAGCGUUAUGCAUCUUUUCUCUAGUAUGCAUUUAUGUUAUACUAGUCAUGUUUAAGAAAUUCUCUUCUUUAUCUGUUUUUUUUUUUUUUUGAGUGAGGUGGGUAGGUUGAAGGUAUUCCAAGGAGUCUUAUUUUGAAAACUAAGACGGGUCAACAGAAUGGAGUUUGGAUAAACAAUACGAUUUAGUAAGGGAAAACUUGAACAUUGGACCAUAAUGCAUGGCUACAUGCAUUUGGGUUUUCAUCCUGAAAUAUCCCCUUGUUAUUCUUUGUCUGAAGUCAGGUUGUAUGUUUCAACAUUCAAUAACUAGUAUAGAAUUGAGAAGCAACAUAGACAAUGCCUACAGAAAUAACGUGUGAUGAAGAUAACACACUUAGAUAUAUUCAUUAGAGCAUGUUCACCAUAUCUCUCUUGUUUUGCUUUAAUAUUAAGCAUGAAGGCAACAGCCACAACUAAUGAGUAUUUCAUACCUUGAUGAUUGGUACAUGAAAGUAGAGUAAAAGGAGCAAAACAGACUUCAGUGACAUACCUUAAAGACAGUACCAUUCACUUUGUAAAGGUUUUGUGCGCUAUCACUCCCAAGUCCAUUCAACUGACAAACACAGAAAAAGGAAUCAAAUACCAGAAUUGCAGCCAUCAGAUUAAUAAGAGGCUGCAAAAGAUAUUACCUGCGUUGUUCAAUUUAUGUCCUUUCUUAUAAGUAGAUAAUAAAGACACUUCUGAAUAUAUUUACUUUGACAGCAUGAAGUCGGUGAUUGAAAGAUACAACAAAACAAAGGAGGAGAAUCAUCAAUUGGCAACUCCAACUUCUGAGGUUAGGGUAAGUUUCACUGGUUAAUUUGCAGUCAACUAAUCAAAGAAAAAUAUGCAUAGCUAAGCUUUCUAUCAUAACCACUUCAUGUCGUUGGACAUAAUCUAGGCAAUAUCAAGGGACUUGUUGAGUAAUUGAGGCAUAGAAUUAACAACCUAAAAUCUCAGGUUCAAGGCCUUCUAUAACACAUAAUAUACACAUAUCUACUCAACCAUGGUGAGCUGAUUUCUGGACAUCUGUAAGGUAGGCUGCAGCAAGCUUUUUGGUGAGAUAGUCAAGGUGCGAGCAAAUUGAUCCAGACACCACUAUAAUAAGUAAAAAUUCUGUUCAAAGUUAACAGAAUAAUUAAAUGGUAGAGAAUAUUUUUAGUGAUUAUAUUAUAGAUGAAAGUUAAGAGGAUCAUUAAGAAUUAUAUGGAAAAUAUUCUUAGUGAUUAUAUGAUAAAUAUAGGAAACCAUAGAAACAAAAAGACUUCCCUCAUACAAGCAGCCCUCUUGAUAUUACCAACCAGUGCCAACAAGAAUAUCUUUUCAUCUUCUUCUCCUACUUAUUGGGCGUAUUAGGCUUCUAGGAAAUUUGUAGAAACCUAAGUGAAUAUAUAUUUGGAGAUUUUAUUACUCAUCUCUUUCUGAUUGAUCAUUCUAGGAAGUACCAUUCUUACUUCCAGCGAUCAUUUAGGCAGCACUAUGCUUUUUCAGGAGCCAUAACUCUUUCCAGAGAACAUUUGAGGCACCACACUGAUGUAUUUCAGGCAACCAUCUAUUCCUAGAGAUUUGUGUCACCAUAUCACUUCUCCCUAAAUUAGAAAAAAACAUUUCCCUAUGGGCUGUAAGGACACUUCUUUGGCUACAUCGACAACAGUCUGUGAGAAAGAAUAAGACCUUUUACGGCGAAUGUCACUAUUCCAGCAACUCAUUUCAGAUGACUGUCAAUUAUUCUGGUGAGUUCUAAUACAGUGCAAGGUGGCAUGUAAUCCUAACAUUGUUUUUGAUAAGUAGAAUUUAUUCAUAGAAACAGCAACAAUCAAGUAUUAAACCUGUAACAGAAGUUUGACUCAACUCCUAUCCAAGAUACAAGGAGUCUAUAUGAAGUCCAAAAGUGUUAUCAAGAUAAUUUUUACUGAGAAUUAUUCUAAAGGUUUAUACUAUAGUCUAGAGAACUAUUAAUUACUAUGUCAAAAUUGAAAUCCUCAAUGAGUAUGGUUCCUUAGUCCAUAGAAACUCCUAAGAGUCUAGUGUUUUCCUAACAAUAAAAGCUUAGUUAGGGUUCCUUACAUGAAUUAUGGUGUACUUCUGUGUAUACGACUUUGUGAAAAGGAUUUAAAAGAUAUUAGCACCUAUGAUGAAGGGAAAUAGAAUUUCGGAAACAGCCGUUCUACCUCUGGGCUCGGAGGUAGAGGUCAGGGCUGUGUUCACUCUACCCUCCCCAGAUCCCACUCCGUGGGACUAUAUUGGGUAUGCUGUUGAUGUUGUUGGAAUGUCAGUCAUAGGGUGGAGAAUCUUAUAAUAAGAGGGCUAGUGACUAGUCAAGUCAAAAACCUAGUUUGAUCUACAUGACUGGUUAUAUGGGUAGCCGAAUGGUAAUAAAAUAUUAACUAUAAAGGAAAACAACAAAAACGCUAGAAAGAGUCAAAAUGAAUAUUGAUAAUAUAUCUGUGAAUUUACACUAUUCCGAUUUAAUUAAUUCUAUUUAUACCAUGUGAGUCCUCCAGUUUUACCACUUCUAAGUUUCUAUGUGAUCUGGUUAGAUUGCAUGAGCCUGGUCCUAAGUUUGUAGUAUCCUACCACUCAGAUUGCUAUUUUGACAGUUUAGGAAAAGAAUAAAAUGCACAUUAAAGUACGUUGCUUUUGUUCUCACCAGAAAAGUGGAAAGAGAAAAAUGAAUUUUCAUCCCUUGAUAAAUCAGAUAACUUAUCCACCUUCACUUCCUUGGCUCAUUUGGUACAACGAUUCCUCAUUGCCCUGCCUUUCUGCCAUACUCAACACUUGUCUGUCCAAAUGGUCGGUCUAGCCAUAUGUUGGGUCAAAACUGAAAAUAGAAGAAGUGAGGGAAUGAUCUUAAAGGUUUCAUAUUAUCACCAACUCUACUGGAAAGGUCAAACUGUGUUUCCAAGGGAAAUAGAAUUAGGAGACGGAAGCAGGGUAACAGGGACAAAAGCGAAGAGACAAAACAGAAUCCUGCAAGAAGCAAAAGAUUCUUAUAGUUAACAGUUAGUUGUACAGCUGAAGAUGCUGGAAUGGAGGCUAAAGUUUGAAAACCAAUAUUUAAGAUGGAAGGAAGAUGCUUUAUGAGAAAAUAGAAACAUUCAUCCAAACUGGUGUCUUAUAAACCACGGGCAAUCCAAUACAUUGACAGAGAACAGGAGCUAAGUAUUCCAUUAUUACUGAUCUGGCAUGAAAUGCUAUCCAUUGAAAAUGUAACAAAACUUCACCUUUUCAAGAUUUAACUGGAGAGACGUCACAUAAGAAUAGAUCAGGGACUAUGGCUUUAAUUUGUCUAGCAAUCACAGCAUAGCUCAAGAUAGAACUGUCUUAUAGUUCACACUACACAAUUACUUUGAAGCAUUUUGUAUCAUAUCAAGCAAAAACAUCUUCAGCUAAACAAUUUUCAUAUAACCCCUACAGUCUGCAUAUUAACGCGAAAAAAGAUUCUACACAGACACAGCCUGAUUUCCUGCAAGAGCAAUUAAAGAAAGGGUUUUCAUGCUCUUGAGAGGGGUACAUGAUUGGAAAAACAAAACCACGUGCUACCUUUUUACUGACGAUCACCAUUAUCAACUUCAAGGAUUUAGUAGUCUGCCUAAUCCAGCUGUACUUGAAAAAUUGGCCAUCUUUUAAAUUACCUUUACAGUGUAAAGGUUCUAUUGUGGGAAAAGUUCUAGUAAGACAGGGACUUCAAAGGCUGCUUAUCCUCCAGCCCCCUUCUAACUAGUGUCAAAAUCUUAAAACAAAAUCUUCUGAAUCUUAAUCAUUUGAGCCAUGCCAAUUCAACAAGGAGAUUCAAUUUGUGGUAGAGGUAGUAAUGAUUUCUUUCCGGUGAAGCCCAUUUCUUGAAAAUCGUCUGCUAGGGCACACUAUCUGUUGUCAAAUAUCUACCAAGAUGACAGCUGGUGUUAACCUACACCUUGAUCAUUCCUAUGUUCACAUAUAAGUUCAGGUACAGCAAGGAGCUUUUGGAUAUGGUAUUGGAAGAUAAUUCCUGGUAGAUUGAUCAUGGAAGCAGCACUUGACCCCUUUUAAUAAUAAGACUGGAUAGACCACCCUAAUUUAAGACAUAACUAAGAAUUCUGCUCGGGGGUUAAUACUGCCAUCAUGACAUAUUGCACUCAUUUUCAUAGCACACUCUUCCAAUGGUACACAAAUCCAGGAACAGAAAAUCUCGUCUAGAGCUGCUUUACGAUCUUCAAGUGGGGUAACUAUGACGCAGCUGUAAUUUUAUUUUUUUUGUACAACUGUAAUUAAUCAUUUACAGAACAUCAAAUUUAAUUACUCCUUACUGUACCAGACAUCAUAGUUUAUGACCAUCAACUUCAAGGCCUCCAAAACAACAAUAGCUUAUAAUUUUAUCCCUGAUAGCAUAUUGUCGAACAAAAUUGUUAAUGGUAGGAAGCAACAAAUAUAAAAACGACGCCUUGUGGCAAUCUCAAGGAAGUAACUCUAAAUUGAAGUUACACAAUCUUAAGGGUACAUAUGGAUCUAAUUCCCAGACCACAAGGAGGGGGACGGCUCAAUUUAAAUCUAAGUAGCACCCAUUACAUCUAGGCUUGGUUUCCUAUUGAUUUCACAGCUAGUUUUAUCAAGCAUGCAGAAAUAUCCAUUAGUUUCUCCUAUGAUAAUCCAAAACCAUGUAUUAAAAUAUAAUUUCCUGUUAGCAGUUUUGGCAAAGGGAAGCGGCAAUGCUGAGGCAACAACUACAGAACUUGCAAGAGAAUCACCGGUAAACUCUCUUGUCAUAUGUUAGAUAUAUUUCUUACUUCCACAAAUAACUUAUUCAAUGAUCUAUAGCACAAACACAGGGACUCUUGUCUCCAUUGUAAGUUUUAAGACAUUAAAGUAAAAAUUACUCCCUUCAUUCACUUUUACUUGUCACAUUUGGAAUUAGCACACCCAAUAAGAAAACAAUAAUUGACAUGGCUAUUUUACCACACUACCCUAUUAAUUGAUGUUUAGUAUUAAGUGUUGAAAAAUGAUCUGGGAAUAUGUAAUCAAUGCUAAGGGGAAGACAUGGAAAAAAUUUAUUGUCUUUUCUUGAUAUGUUAAAGGUGAAGAGUAAAAGUAGGUUUGGGGGUUUCACAUGAAUCCCUAUUAAUUGAUGUUUAGUAUUAGGUCUUGGAAAUGGUGUUAUCCACUUUAAUGUUGAGGGACUAGGAAUUAGAGAUUUUAGAAUGUUCAUAAACUCUACCAGGAAAGUUGGUUUGGGGUUUCACAUGGAACUCAACCGUUGUGGGCAUCGACAAGUAUGCUAUUAAAUGGGAUAAUGAGGACCAAUCAUAUUGAGCAUCUCUUUAGAGGAUAUUGGGAAAAUGUGGAGAGAUCCUAUCUAAGUGAAAAUUUAUAUAUACUUUUUUGAAAACUACCCAUCAAAGCGACAAAUUUAAAAGGGGAGAGGGGUUUUGUUGUGUGUGUGUGUGGGAGGGGGGGAGGGGGGCUAGGCUAUUGAAACUAGAAUCAAUGUCUUGAAAUAGAGAGGGUAGAGUCGUUGAUUGUGUUAAGUUUUCUGAUCAUUUUUAAUACUUUCAACCAACAGAUAUUAACAGUUGUCGACAAUUUUUUUAUUUUCUGAAAUGGUAACAUAAUAAUUGUCCACAAUUAUAGAGAAUGGGGGAGAAUUUUAUAGGACCUAUUGCUUGGAUCACCAUACAUGCAAAGAAAAUACAGAAAUACUCCCAAUUCACAUUAUUUUGUAGUUAUUACUACUCGUUUCUGUAUUUUCUUUUUUCAAACUACUUGGAAAUGCUUUGUUUUAAGCGGAGGGUCUAUCGGAAACAGUCUCUCUAGCUCUAACGAGGUAGGAGUAAGGUCUGGUUACACUCUACCCUCCCUAGACCUCAAAUGUGGGAUUACAUUGGGCAUGUUGUUUUUGUUGUUCUUUCUUUAGGUAGGAAUUUUCCCAUAACAUUAGUAUACGUUGAUUUCAUCAACAAUGUUCCUAGGCAAAAUAAAAUAUCUCCUCCAUUGCACUACUUAAAAUAUUUAACUAUUGUGAUCUUUUGGAUCGAUGGUGUUAUUUCUUUUUAUUUUUUGGGGGUUGGGGGGAAUAAAGGUAAUAUUUGAGGGUUUUACUUUUCUGUCUUUAAAUGGAUGGAGUGAGGAAAUAGAGAAAUGUGUAUUAAUUGACACUAAUUCCCGUGAUAGCUAUUUUGUUCAUAAUCCUGAGCUUUCUUUUGACACUACAGAAGUUCCGUUAAAACAUGUCCUGUUUUUCUUCGUUUCACUCGCUUUUUGACAGAACAUUUUGUUAACGAACUUAACUCUCCUUUCUCUGCUUCUCCCUUCCUGUCCCUCAAAACCCUUGAAGAACAAAAAAAAUUGAAUGUACCUCCUCUUCUCUCCUCUCAUUUCUAUCUGUCUUUCAAUUCUAUAGCUCUAUCAGAACCCAACACCCACACCCCAGUUUUCUUUUUCUAUGUUCAGUGGGCAGUAGAAAGAGAGAAAAGGAUAGUUCUAGUAGUGAUACAAAAGGUGUCUCAUCAAGGAUGCCGUUUGGAAUGUUCCUUCAAUAUCUUCAACAGUAUAGGCAUCCUAAGCCAACCACAAGAAAAUGCAUGAAACUAAGAACUAAACUAUCACCACCUUGCUGGAAAAAAGCAAGUGACACUAGAUAGCUUGUAACAUCAGUUCACAAAAUAGAAUAUGACAGAGAUAUCUGCUCUAGGUUAUCCUUAAAAAGAUUAUAUCUGUAAGUGCUGACAGAAAGGAUACUCAGAUUAUUUCAAGCUACUGGUUUUACAAUCAAAAGGAAGAGGCACUCAGGACCAUGGUUGUAACCCUUCAGAUCAGGGUUUUGAAGGAUCAAACAACAUUCGGUCUCUCUUAUGAAUUAAAGUAUUAGCAUGGACUUCUAGGGUGUGUCUGGUAUGGAGGAAAACAUUUUCUAGUAGAAGUGGCUUCUUGUUUAUUUUCUUGUGUUCGGUAUGCAAGUAAAAAUUUAUAAUCCUAAAAGUAUUUCUAUAUAUAUCUAAGACAAAACUAUGACUCUAUGAGGGUGGGGGUGGAGGAAUUCAGGGGUGGGCUGGGUGGUUGUGAGGAGACAAUGUGAUUUGUUUUACCUACUUUCAUUAGGAAAGUUAUUUUCCAUAUUAUUUUUAUUAUGACAAGGGAAAGCCGCAGUCGUUACCCUUUGGGCGCGCACAGGGUAAAACCCCCGCUCCUAUGCAAUAGCUCGCAAACCACAUAGGAGAGGUAACCCGCACUAGGCAAGCCCGGUGCGAUGAGCUCGAUCUAGAAGGCAAACCCCUUGCUUUCGCUGGCAAGGGGUUUCGAACUUGAGACCUCCAACAUGGAAGUCCUAAGCCCAAACCACUGGCCAACCCCAAAGGGUCAUUUUCCAUAUUUUCAAGGAGAUUGUUUUCCUAAAGAAAAUAUUUCUCAAAAUUUUUGGUCAACUGAACUGCAGUGAAUCAUGCAAUUCACUGGAGGAUUCUGUAAAGAUGUCUUCACUAUAUAAUCCCAGCAAGCAACUCAAUGUUGGGGAGUGAAAAUUCAAUAAUAAGCACACCUCAAAUGGUGUUAUAGAUUUCUUCCAGAGCUCCAUCAAACUGUUUAACAUCAACCCCCACCCACACCCANNNNNNNNNNNNNNNNNNNNNNNNNNNNNNNNNNNNNNNNNNNNNNNNNNNNNNNNNNNNNNNNNNNNNNNNNNNNNNNNNNNNNNNNNNNNNNNNNNNNNNNNNNNNNNNNNNNNNNNNNNNNNNNNNNNNNNNNNNNNNNNNNNNNNNNNNNNNNNNNNNNNNNNNNNNNNNNNNNNNNNNNNNNNNNNNNNNNNNNNNNNNNNNNNNNNNNNNNNNNNNNNNNNNNNNNNNNNNNNNNNNNNNNNNNNNNNNNNNNNNNNNNNNNNNNNNNNNNNNNNNNNNNNNNNNNNNNNNNNNNNNNNNNNNNNNNNNNNNNNNNNNNNNNNNNNNNNNNNNNNNNNNNNNNNNNNNNNNNNNNNNNNNNNNNNNNNNNNNNNNNNNNNNNNNNNNNNNNNNNNNNNNNNNNNNNNNNNNNNNNNNNNNNNNNNNNNNNNNNNNNNNNNNNNNNNNNNNNNNNNNNNNNNNNNNNNNNNNNNNNNNNNNNNNNNNNNNNNNCACCCCCCCCCCCCCCCCCCCCCCAAGAAACGAGAAGUCACAGUUGUUUAAAACAGGAUGUAUAAGUCACAUACAGUCAACUGUCAAUUUCUCUGUUGGAAUCACAUGUUUCUUAACAGUUUAUUUCUGCAAUAUAGACAAAUGAUGGGUGAAGAGCUUUCUGGUCUGAGCGUCAAAGAUUUGCAGAACUUGGAGAACCAACUGGAAACGAGUCUCCAUGGUGUUCGUGUAAGAAAGGUAUGAAAUUUCCAGAUCCAACAAAUGUUCACUAUAUUAAUUAAAUAAAAACUAACUCUACCCCCACAUGUCUACAGGACGAAAUUCUGAUUGAUGAGAUACAAGAACUAAACCGAAAGGUCAAUCAACAUAAAAUGCAGAGACUCUUAUCAAUUUAUUCUAAUCUAAAAAGUAUAACUUCUCAAGAUACUAAAUUAAUAUUUUUCCUUGCAGGGAAACCUCAUUCAUCAGGAAAACAUGGACCUAUAUAAGAAGGUAAACCUAAUUCGUCAAGAAAAUAUGAAAUUGUGUAAGAAGGUAUCAAUGUACAUCACUAAAAGCUUUCACAUGCUUCAAGAUCAAUUAUUUCCUUUUGUUUUCUUAUACCAAGUGAAAGAGUCAACCAUUCUUCUUAGAACUCUGGCAAAUUGUUUCUACAUUGUGUUAAACUACAGGUUUAUGGAAAUAGAGAUGCAAAUGGAGUGAGCAGAAGUCCCCUUGUUGCGAACAGUUUAAGCAUCAAUGAGGACCUUCAUGCUCCUGUUCAUCUCCAGCUUAGCCAGCCACAGCAACAGAACUAUGAGGCAUCGGGAACUACCGAAUUGGGGUAAUUUCUUGCUCAUAUGCUUCAUCUGGAAGCACAAUGGUAAUUCACUAACCUGAUCAUUGACUAUCGUCUUACUGGAAAAUGCUGCAGGCUACAACUGCAUUCGCAGUGAAAACCAGCCUCGUAAGAGUUUUCUGUUCUCAUGUUGAAGAAGCAGCUGUGCUUACAGAGCUAUGUUUUAACUUUUAAUGGUAGUAAUGAUAUAGAACCCAGAGAUGUCAGGAAAAAAUCUUCAGUUCACAAGGUUUAUGACAUCAAGUUUGACAAGUGUGAGGUAAUCCUUAGCACAACUACUUAAAGUAAGAUAACAACAAAUAAAGGAAUACAUUGGCACAGUAUCUCUACAUAUCUUUAUCUUUCUUCGCACUUCAUGCUUAUGAUGUGUAUGCCCUGUAUACUAGGAUUGUACUUGAUGACGUUUUCAAAUAGCUAUAAAUAGUUGACUACUUAAAACAGGGGUGGGAGCAAAGAAAUGCAAUCAGAAAAAGGAUAUACAUAACAGUAACUCCUCAAAGAAAUUCCUUGAGAAACACACCACAAGCAAACAGUACAAAGCAGAGCUAAGAAACUUAAUAAAGUAAGCCAUACCGCAUUGUUGCAUCAAUAUGCUUUGCGUGCAAUAGUCUUUAGCAAGGGACAGAUUAAAUUCAUUUCACACCAGUGUCGAACUUCAAAUUCAAGUGCUAAACAAAAAAGAUACAACAAGCAUUUGUAUUAGUAAUGCUCUUCCCAGAAAUUUUAGAAUGGAUGAUCAAAUAAUAUAUGAAGCAACAACAACAACAAUAUACCUAGUGCAAUCCCACAGGUGAGGUCCGGGUCGGUAGACUGUACGCAGACGUUAUCUCUAUCUCAUGGAGGUAGAGAGGCUGUUUCCAAAAGACACUCGCGCUCAAGUAACAGAUAAUAUAUGGAGCAUGCUCCACAAACAGUCUUUUCUGCCGAAGACAGUAAGUACUUCUUAAACAAGCUAUUUCUGGAUCACAAGGAUUCCAAUGGUAAACCUACACGAAUGCAUGCACUAUCAACAACCAAAUUUUCUAUACUACAGAAGACAGACUCUCAUCAAAUGACCUAUUUGUACAGCAAUGGAUUGCAUACUAAAUUAACAUGGAAGAAACAUGUUUAGGUCAUGAUGUGUGUGAGCAUAAAGUCCAUCGUAGGCAAAACUUCGUAUUACUUUGGAGAGUACACAUAAACAGAACAUGUCAUCUAAAAGGAGUAAAGUCUUCACCACGAAGGAUUAUUCAUCUUCUAUCAGGAGAUAGUUUACAAGAACGUAAAUGAAGGAAUAACUGUUACCAUUGACAAAAAAAGUGAAUGAAGGGCUAUUAGGUAGUGAAUAGGACUAGGACAUUAAUAAGGCAUAAACUCCAUGGAAGUUAUCAAACUUUAGUGCGUCAGGUACUAUGUAUUGACAAGGUAAAUGGAAUUUAUAAAACUAGAAAUUUGAAUCUAAUUGAACAGCAAAACUGCAAGCAUGCUAUGUUAUACUACAAAAGAAUAUGAUACCAUUAAUUUAGGAAUUCUGGAAAACUGUAAAAGAGAAGAUUUGUUUUAGAUUUUAGUGGAAUAAUCAGAGCACGAUAGAGCAUCUUCUACAAUGCCAAUACUUAAACCGAUUGGAACAUUUAUUACAACCAAUGCUCAAUAACAGCAGCAGCAGCCAUUUCAAACAGUGAGAAUACAAGACAUAAUUUAACAAUGUCCUUUGUGUCAAGAUUCUCAGUUCAAGACAAAUAGACACAAAAGAGGGGGAGAUUAGGUUCCAUUUUGACUAGCACCUGGAUAACAAUGAAGAUGAUUCUCACAUCUCCAUGUGGUGCAGUAAGGUUCUUAAAGUUGCAUGAACGAACAAAUUCUGAGGAAACUGGCCUGACUCAAGAGAAAAAAUGGAUCAUCUAGAGUUACUGCAGUAGUAUGUCUGCUAAAUAACAAUUUUCAUCAACGUAGUAAAAAGAUCAAAAAAUUUCCAAACAAGUUGGACAAGGAUAGCGUCUUCCACACAGCAAAGAUCUAUAACACCACAUUUGAGUGAGAUGACAUGGUACUCUCUCAAACACCAAAUUGUCUUUUAGCAACAUAAUAUGUCCAAUCCAAGUAAAUAAAACUACAGAAAGGUAAAUAUGCUAGUCGGCACUGUUACAACCACAGCAUUAAUAAGUUACCCUAUUGAUGGGACAGGCCUGGAAAUAGUGUUACUUAAUUUAUCUCUAAACAUCAUUUGUACUGCCUAAAGUUCCAGUUUGAGGUGUCCUUGCAAUAUAGUAUGAGGUGAUUCCAAGCUUUCUUUCCCCAUUUUUUUAAAAUUUCACAAACUCUUUUUAACUUUAUAAACGGUUUAACCUUCUACAACCAUUCCAAAAAUGUGACAUUGCUUUAAGGUAGGUGAACCAUAAACCUUUACAUGCCUACAAUACCCAAAAUCUCGAUGACUCUUGGGUGUCCCAGAUCACACACCUCUUUAUUCAAGAGUUUAUGGAAGUAUGUCUGCCAUCUACACCUAAUAAGAGUCCCAUCCACCAAUACCGUGUCAUCCUCAUCUUUGAUGCACUUCACUUGCUCCAAGUCACAAGUCUUCUCCUCUCUCACCUUGGUUGUCGUGUACAACUGCUUGUCCCAGCCUAUGUCCCCAAGUUCUUCAUACAGACGUCCAAAACCCCUGCAGUCUUUGCUGCCUUAACUGCUAAUUUCACCUCCUUCCUCACUUUCUUAUACUCCUCCUUGUUCAUCCUCUUCUCCUCAUUGUCUUUUCUUUCUACUAUCUUCACAUAUGCUGCUUUCUUGGCGUCCACUUUUCCUUGGACCUCUUCAUUCCACCACCAAUCCUCUUUUGUGUCCACUGGAGUAACCCUUCAAGAUCUCUAGCACCGCUCUAGCUGCUCCCUUAAUGUAAGUCACAGUCAUCGACCACAUGCUACUCGUGUCCCCACUGCUCCUCCAGGUCCCCAUUGCUAUCAACAUCUCCACAACUCCUAAGUAUUAUCCUAAGUCAACGCACCCCACUUGAUCUGCCUUGAUCUUUGGGUGACCAUACACGACACUUUUCUCCUCUUCCUCGUUAUUACGAUGUCUAUCAUAACCAUCUUAUUUUGCUUAUAAGUCAUAUUCACAGUUAAGUCAUGUGAAUCUAUUGUAUAAACAAUAUGGUAACAAGUCAACUUUAUUGCAUUAACAAGACUAACUAUAACUGAAUUAUAUCAGUAACAGAAGUAUCAAAUUUGUUUCUUUUAUCCCUCUGAACCUAAAACUUCCUCUGACACAUUAACAAAAGGGUCCUCUAAACCUAAUACUUACUCUGUCACAUUUACCUAAGGGGAUACUAUUACUUUUUGGGGAGUCAGAGGUUUUUCUUUUACGACAAGCUUUUAUAAAAAAUUACUAAAUAUUUUGAUCUAUUAAUUUUUGUGACCAACCGCACUUGUUUCACAAUUUUCACUAUGUAAAAUUUAUGUCAAAUUCUUGAUGAAUCUAUGUCUAAAUCCACACUGAAAAUUAGGUAUUUUGACCCUCAUACUAUAAAGCAGAGGAAGUGUUAUACAAUAUAUAAGAUCACUUGGAACUUCUAUGAUGCACUUUACAAGGAUGUGAUUAAAUGAAUGCACUAAAGCUUUCCAUCACAUCCAGAACUAUCUGUGGAAUGGAAACUGGACUAGCUCAACUAGGACCAACUGAUCCGUCAUUUACCAAAACGCUAACAUAGCUCACUAGCCACCAAAUCUAUGAGGUAGAAAUCCAUCUCAAAAUGAGACUAGGUUUAACACAACAAAAACAAAGUAUUAUUGAAAUCUUGAAACUCACCAGUUGCAUAAACAACUGAAUUUUCUAUUUGCCAACCAUUAUCUAAUUUUAUAAAAACAAGAGUCUCAAUAACUUAUGGUUUAUGGUUUUUAAAGAUGAGGAAUAUUUAUAUGUUCCAAUAAUUAAUAUUUUACAGGUUACUUUAAGUUAUGUCUUACGUUAUUAUUAAUCUACAACCAUUUCAUUUGACCAACAGCCAAAUCAAAUUUCAAGUAAGACUUUAUAUUUUUUUGACUUUAAUGAGAAAAAUUGUUCUUUUCUUAAUGUUUCAAAUUAUUACUAAUUAUUUUCAAUAAUAUCUCAAGCAACAAAUUAUAAGAACAUUCUGCCCUAACCUUCACAAAAGUAAACCUAGGUCAGUAACCAAAAUAGGAGGCAACAUAAGAAAGUAUUUUGGUAGAAGCAGUUACUGUAAUGUGAUAACUUUCAAGCGAAAGGUUGCUAGUGAGCUAAAGACAAAUACAGCAAAUAUAGAAUGAUCACUUAAACUUUAAAAUUCAUCAAGCUGAGAGAUAUAAGCUUCAUGAUUAAUCCUUCUUGUUCCAAAAAUAAAGCUUUGAGGAGUUAUCCAUGUGUGUACAGUGUCAUAUCAGUCCAUACACUAACAAGUAUUUUGAAAUUACAGGUGAACAACAGUUUGAACCUGUGCGUGGUAGAUUCAUAAAUCACUGUCUUAAUCCAUAUGGCUACAUCCACUCCCUCACCUUCUUAAGUUCCACUUUUACAGAUUUAAAUUGGAAACAAAAUAUUCAAGUCAAAUAUCUAUCAUCUUUCUUAUUUCAAUGAUGUUCUUAUUCAAAAUUAUGAUUAAAAUAUAAAGUAAAAAUAACCAAAAAAAGAAAAUAUAGCAGCAAGAAGAGGUAAAAUCAAAAUACAUUACUCAUAAGCUAAUCUUUUCUCCUUUUCAGAAAAACAAAUGCGCCCACUCAGGCUUUGGGGAGGGUAGAAUGUACGCAGACCUAACAACUAUCUCGUGGAGGUAGAGAGGUAAUUUCCGAAAGACUCACAGCUCAAGUGCAACAAAUCUAGGUACAAAUAAGACACAGACAAUGACAACAAAAAUAGUACGACAGUUGAAAUAUCAAAACAAGAACUACAAUAAUACUAGUAUAAGAAUACUAGUUGGUAAAAUAUCUUUUCUUUCCUAAGCAAUAUAUAAGAUCCAAUACAGUGUACAACGAUCAUCCUUCAAUCCUACAACUCUUUAUUCUAUCCCUCAAUAUGGACAAUUCCCUAAACUUUAAUCUUAAAAGCAUAUGCCUAAACUAAAGGAAUCAUUUACGCAAGAUGAAUUUUCAUUUCUCUCGAAAAAAAUCCUCAAUUUAUGUUAGUACAAUGCUGAAAUACAAAAGAAGUAGAUUAGGUAGCCAAUCCAUUUCACGCAGUAAAUUGCUUGUAAUAUGAUCACUAAACAAUUUUAGAGGGACAAAGCUAGUUAACAAUAAUAUAUUCCAGAGAAAUGUGUAACAGUUAACAUGAUGUUACAAGAUUUCAAUUAGGUCGCCAAGUGGUAUUUCAGUUCAACUUCUACUGUAGGCCAUUAAACUGGUAAAUCAAUCAUUUUCUUGCUGAUAAUGUGAUAGCUAUCUGUAUUUUACAUGAUGUUGUAUAGAUCACUUAAGAUCAAAAAUACAAAAUGAUAACAAAAGUAACAGGAGGUAAUCAUAACACAGUUCGCGGGAGAAGCCAUAAGAUGUACAGCAGCACUAAGAUUAUAUCACACAGAUAGAAAGCAUAUUUGACCUCUAAUAUACACAAUUACAUAAAGUAAAUGCUAUAUGUAUUCCGUCAUACUAUUCUAUGAACUACUAUGAUAAAUUGGUGCCGAAAAAGAAAAAAUGCAAAAGAAACAAACAGAAGAAAAGUGUACAUGCAAUAACAAAUCUGAAGCCAGCACAGAUUUCACCGAGAAACAUUAAAGUAAUUUUCUUUAACUCAAGUACAGAAGCAAAAUUGUUUGCCAACAGUACUUCAAAGUGUAACAUCAAAUCCAAGACAAUAUGCUUCCUAGUAAAGAAAAGAAUCGUGAAGAAAAGAAACUCCAAUAACUCGCAAGGAAAGAUUUGUGAACCAGAAAAAAAAAAAAACUAAGAAAAUACGAAACUAAAUGAAACGUAUAUUUAAUUAAGUAUGAAGAGAACAACAUUACGCACCUGAAAAACGAAGCAACGGCAUUUCCACAAUGCUGUGAGUGUAAUUGCAUACCACAUCUAUUAUAAACUUGUGAUCAGGAAAAAGUUCUGCAAGGGAAUUGAAAAAGGCAAAACAAAAAAUGAUUCCGAUCAGCAAGCUGCGAGAUAAAAUAUUCAAUAAAGAAUAAAAGGAAACGUAUCGGAAAACGCAGUUAGUUUAGAAGCAAAGGUGAAAAUUGAGUUUAGCUUUCAACAAAGAUAAGCAUAUGAUAUUAAAUAUUAUUUUUUCUUCUUUCUCAGGAACCAAAAAGAAAAAAACUGUGAAUUGAACCACCGCCAUGAGAGGAAAGAACAAACAUUGCGAGUUCAUCCUGGAGUGAUCGAUCGAAAAGUUUAUCGGACAAUUCGAGGAGAAGAUGAAGAAAGAAUUGAAAGAAGAGAAUUCGAUUUGUGUUCGAAACAGUAGGUUUCACAUAGAAUAGAGAGAGGAAAUGAAUAGAGACGGGAAAAACAAUAUAUGCGUGAGCUGUGAAGGAUAAAAAGGACGGGGAAAUUGGGAUGAGAAACCCGAAGCAGAGUGGGGCAGGGGGUUGAGAAAAUUCUGGGGACUGCUGCUGUUUCCUGGUGGCGCCCCAAUGGUGAUUAUUUUAUGGCGUUAUUAUAUGCUUUUCUGGGGACUUCUUGUUUUAU
rnacentral:lncRNA from 1 species